rnacentral:lncRNA from 10 species
UGAAGAGUAGGAUCUAGAAGGAAAGGUGAGCCCUCCUGGGGUUAGGACACGGAGCUGAAUGCUGCAGCCACUGCGUGUUUCCUUAAAUUCAAUGGCAUUUGCAAUACUUUUUAAAUAAGUGGAAGAUAAGAAAUUUGGCUCCAUUGUAUGUAAGAAGUAAAGCCAAGUCUCAGUGGUAUAUCUUCAAUGGCACUGGAAGGUUUACAUGGAAAAGCCAGACUUUUGGAGUAUUGCUAUCUGUAAAGGGAAAAUAUAAACAACCAGAACAACCUAUCUGAGAAUGGAACUCCCAAAGCAGUAUGACUUAGAUCAAAUGAUUUUUAAGGGGUUUCAGCCCUUAAAUCAAAUGAUUUAUACAAGGGAGGGGGUUCCAUCAUCCAGGGGACUCCCUCCUGCCUUAUAAAUCAUGUGAUCUAAGGGCUGAGACCCCAUUGUGAACAGAGAAGGCCUGCCUUCGAAUCUGCCACCAACUGGGGAUGGGAAGCAACCUUUGACAAGAUAGUUAUUCUCUUUGUGAAUCCAAAGCUGGUUUUUGGAAACCUGAGCCUCAGAAAUUGGCGCUUAGAAUGUGUAGUCCUACAUUGGGCAACGAGACUAUUUCUGUGCUGGGAGUAUAGCCCCCUCUUCCCAUAUCACCCAUUUACCUGCCUCUCAUCCCAUCAGCUGGGCGGGAGGGCAAGGCCAAAGGGCUUCCAUCCUUCACUGUGAGGAAUGCAAGUUCCCUACACGAGAGGGAGAGAGAGCUCAUUAUCAAGAGGUCUUUCCUCCCCAGGCAGCUUCAGAGAACCAUCUGUUGAUGUGGCCAGGAAAUGCUGGCUGAGAUCCCAACAAAGGAGCCGAGAAGUCCUGGCCAAUGUCUGGCACCUGUGUAAAUGUCUGUCACAGCAAGAGUGACCCCCAUAAUUACCUCGACCUUAUUCAAGCGAGAAGUGCCCGUCAGCCUGAGCCCGGUUUGAGAGGCACGCCUGCUGCUCCGUCCCUCCCCCGUGAGCGCGCCAGCUGAAUCUCCAGCUCAGCAGCAGCCCCAAAGCCCCCAUCAUCAGAAUUUCACCUCCUCCAGCAGCAGGAGACCUCCUCCAAGUUGGGGGAGGCGCCCCACACAGUCCUGACAUCAAGGGCUUUCCUCAGAAACACCCCAGCUGGGGGCUUUCUUUUGACUCACAGCACUUUCAGCCAGGAUGUUCAUGAGCCUGGGGUCCAUUGUUUGUGAAGUCAACUGGAUUCCAAGUUUAAACAUGCAGAGGAAAGGAGGAGUUCCUCAAGCACCUCUGAACUCCAGCAGCUCUGGAAUAUUCCCAUUUCAACAUUCCCACCUGCGCUCCGUCCUCCCUCCUGCCUCUUCCAUCAUAGGGGAUGAGAUGUGUCCUUUUCAAAGGGUGUGAGGAACAACUGUUAUGCACAGAACUAAGGUUAGAAAACACCUUGUAAGUCAACUGAUUAACAAGCACAUGGUCUGGAGAUCAGAAGUCCAAAAAAUGGGUCUCACUGAGCUACAAUCAAGGUGUCAACAGGCUGUGUCCUUUCCUGGAGGCUCUGGGAGAGAAUCGGUAUCCUUGCUCUUUUCCCACUUCGAGAGGCUGCCACAUUCCUUGGCUGGUGGCUCCUUCCUCCAUCUUCAAAGCCAGCGACAGAUGGUGAAUGGAGUCCUUUCACGUGGCUCACUCUGCCCUUGUUCCUGCUGUCACAUCCCCCCUUCUCUGUCUGACUUUUCUGUCCCCUUCCUCCACUCUUGUCAUUACCUUGGGCCCAUCUGAAAAUCCUGGAUCGUCCCCCUAAUUAAAGUCAGUGGACUAGCAACUUUAAUUCCAUCUGCAACCUUAGUUCCCUUCUGUCAUGUAGCCUAACCUCAUCACGAGUGUCAGGGAUUUGCACGUGGACAUCCUCAGGGACCCCAUCGUGAGUGGUUGGGGGGAUGUGGCCAGAAAGAAGGCAGUGGCAGAAUGCCCAAGAACUCUGCAGCUGCGCUGAGGCAUCUGAGAGCCAAGGAGGAAACCUUCUUUGUGGUUAAGUAAGAAUGAACUAAUAUCCAUCUGGCAUUUGGCAUUUUACACUGCACUUUUUGUACAUUAUCUCAUUGGAUCUUAAAAACAG